GAUGAACGCUGGCGGCGUGCCUAAUACAUGCAAGUCGAGCGAACAGACGAGGAGCUUGCUCCUCUGACGUUAGCGGCGGACGGGUGAGUAACACGUGGAUAACCUACCUAUAAGACUGGGAUAACUUCGGGAAACCGGAGCUAAUACCGGAUAACAUGUUGAACCGCAUGGUUUAACAGUGAAAGACGGUCUUGCUGUCACUUAUAGAUGGAUCCGCGCCGCAUUAGCUAGUUGGUAAGGUAAUGGCUUACCAAGGCAACGAUGCGUAGCCGACCUGAGAGGGUGAUCGGCCACACUGGAACUGAGACACGGUCCAGACUCCUACGGGAGGCAGCAGUAGGGAAUCUUCCGCAAUGGGCGAAAGCCUGACGGAGCAACGCCGCGUGAGUGAAGAAGGUCUUCGGAUCGUAAAACUCUGUUAUUAGGGAAGAACAAAUGUGUAAGUAACUAUGCACGUCCUGACGGUACCUAAUCUGAAAGCCACGGCUAACUACGUG
rnacentral:rRNA from 1 species